GAUGAACGCUGGCGGCGUGCCUAAUACAUGCAAGUCGAGCGAACAGACGAGGAGCUUGCUCCUCUGACGUUAGCGGCGGACGGGUGAGUAACACGUGGAUAACCUACCUAUAAGACUGGGAUAACUUCGGGAAACCGGAGCUAAUACCGGAUAAUAUAUUGAACCGCAUGGUUCAAUAGUGAAAGACGGUUUUGCUGUCACUUAUAGAUGGAUCCGCGCCGCAUUAGCUAGUUGGUAAGGUAACGGCUUACCAAGGCAACGAUGCGUAGCCGACCUGAGAGGGUGAUCGGCCACACUGGAACUGAGACACGGUCCAGACUCCUACGGGAGGCACCAGUAGGGAAUCUGACGCAAUGGGCGAAAGCCUGACGGAGCAACGCGGAGUGAGUGAUGAAGGUCUUCGGAUCGUAAAAAUCUGUUAUUAGGGAAGAACAAAUGUGUAAGUAACUAUGGACGUCUUGACGGUAACUAAUAAGAAAGCCACGGCUAACUACGUG
rnacentral:rRNA from 1 species